ensembl:lncRNA
UAAAAACAAAUGUCAGCAUCAGUUGGCGUUGCCAUGGGGAGUUUCCUUUCUUGGUUGUGAAAACACCCGACAAUCACAUCAUCGUCGUUGUGUCCAUUUCUCCCCGCGGGGCUGUGGCCGGGGUUUGGCCCGACGUCCCUGCCUCUCGUCAAACACUCCAGACACGCUUUGAAUUCAAUUCUCUGCGUCUGUGAUCAAGGCUAAAGGAGGAACAUGAAAAGAACCAACUUCGGGAGUGACCGCAUUGGAGCCAACGAGGAAUGGAAUCCGGCCAUGAUGUCAGACAAUUCAUUCAUCCCAAAUGGAACAUUAUUCCCUACGUUGCACUCCUGUUUAGCAGAGGCCCUAUGGCAAAAGCAACGCAAUAAAAUAGGGCAUAGGCUGCCAUUCGGGACACACACAGACAACAUUCUCUGUAACCUGCAAGCAGUCAUUUCCAUCUACUGUUCUGUACUGCUUAAUGCUGUCAGACAACUCUACAGUACCUUGACAAGAGGUCUCAAUCUUUAUGGAAUAGAACGUAGUUCACAUGAUCUGGAACUGCAGAGUUACUGGUUCAAGUUCUCUUCCACUUCUUGUAUGAUGGAAGGAUGGUUGGGUGGAUGGAUGGAUGAAGGAAGGAUGGUUGGGUGGAUGGAUGGAUAAAGGAAGGAUGGUUGGGUGGAUGGAUGGAUGAAGGAUGGAUGGUUGGGUGGAUGGAUGGAUAAAGGAAGGAUGGUUGGGUGGAUGGAUGGAUGAAGGAAGGAUGGUUGGGUGGAUGGAUGGAGGAAGGAUGGAUGGUUGGGUGGAUGGAUGAAGGAAGGAUGGUUGGGUGGAUGGAUGGAUAAAGGAAGGAUGGUUGGGUGGAUGGAUGGAUGAAGGAAGGAUGGUUAGGUGGAUGGAUGGAUGAAGGAAGGAUGGUUGGGUGGGAGGAUGGAUAAAGGAAGGAUAGUUGGG